rnacentral:rRNA from 1 species
GAUGAACGCUGGCGGCGUGCCUAAUACAUGCCAGUCGAGCGAACAGAUGAUGAGCUUGCUCCUCUGACGUUAGCGGCGGACGGGUGAGUAACACGUGUAUAACCUACCUAUAAGACUGGUAUAACUUCGGGAAACCGGAUCUAAUACCGUAUAAUCUAUUGAACCGCAUGGUUCAAUAGUGAAAGACGGUUUUGCUGUCACUUAUCGAUGGAUCCGGGCCGCUUUAGCUAGUUGGUAAGUUAACGGCUUACCAAGGCAACGAUGCGUAGCCGACCUGAGAGGGGGAUCGGCGACACGGGAGCUGAGACACGGACCAGACGCCUACGGGAGGCAGCAGUAGGGAAUGUUACGCAGUGGGGGAAAGCAUGACGGAGCAACGGCGCGUGAGUGAUGAAGGUCUUCGGAUCGUAAAACUCUGUUAUUAGGGAAGAACAAAUGUGUAAGGAACUAUGGACGUCUUGACGGUACCUAAUAAGAAAGCAACGGCUAACUACGUG